AUGAUUUCUUCUUUAUAAAGUUACCUUUCUAUAAUAUUAAAAUUCUUUGUUACAGUAUGCUUUAAUCCGUGUAAUGUUGUUUCCUCGCAAAAUUUUGUGUAUAAAGAGCUGGUGAACAAGAUGGAUUCCUUGAUAAGUGCCACCAUUGAUUUCAUAACAGCUCGCCAAGUGAACAUAGUGGUGGCUGUAGUGCUGACUUUUCUCUAUCUCGUGUACCAAUACAAAGAUGUGCUGGUUACGAUGAUAGACCAGCCAGUUUGCAAGAACUCAUUACACAGGUCUCGCUCGAGGUCUCGUUCCUGCUGCAAACGUUAUCCAUGUGACAAGAACUGUUAUCGCGGACUCCAUCCAGGUCGUCUGUGCCAGUACUGCACCCACUGUAACAUCGAUAAUAGGGAUUAAAUUGUUCUGAGGAGUCAUUUUUUUUAUUUAUUAAAUUUGAUCUAUCUAUUUUAAAACUAACGGA